rnacentral:rRNA from 1 species
AUUGAACGCUGGCGGCAGGCCUAACACAUGCAAGUCGAACGAGCGGCGGACGGGUGAGUAAUGUAUGGGGACUGCCCGAUAUAGGGGGAUAACUCCUGGAAACGGUGGCUAAUACCGCAUACUGUGGGAUGACCCAUAUGGGAUUAGCUAGUAGGUAAGGUAAUGGCUUACCUAGGCGACGAUCCCUAGCUGGUCUGAGAGGAUGAUCCGCCAAACGGAGACAGAUACACGGCCAAGACUCCUACGGAGGCAGCAGUGGGGAAUAUUGCACAAUGGGCGCAAGCCUGAUGCAGCCAUGCCGCGUGUAUGAAGAAGGCCCUAGGGUUUUAAAGUAGUUUCAGUCGGGAGGCGGUACCGACAGAAGAAGCACCGGCUAACUCCGUGCCAGCCGCCGCGGUAAUUC